GCCAUUUCAUGCUGAAACCUCAUUUGAUCACUAAAGUUAAGCAAUAUUGAGCCUGCUUAGUACCUAGAUGAGUGACUGCUUGGGAAUACCAGGUGCUGUAAG